GCACGGCGGGGCUGGAUAAGUGGCCAAUUAAAGGACGCGAGCGGCGGAUAUCAUGUGGAUUUGGAAUGAAUUUCGCAUAAAAACCUGCAAGAGAGAAAUACAAAAUACUGCGCCAUUGAAGUGGUUCUUUCCUUCUUUUUCGCUCUGGGGAGAAGGGCUCUCACUUGAACGGCCCGUGUCAGGAUUAAGCUGCUCUGCUGUGCGGUGUAGCCCAUUUGACAGAAUGACACAGAGAAGAAGCCCUUGCCUGGAACAACACGACCCCACACUCCUGAGUGAUGCUCACUCAUCUUCAACAUGAGGGAGCCCGGGAGAAAAUGACAUGCUGUUUACACGUCCACAGACCUUGACGGAGAGUGUGUGAGCAGGAGAGCGCUGGCAAUAGGGACGUGGGGAAAGAUCACUUGAAAGAUACCAUGUGAAGCAAACCCAGUUCUACUUGCUGCUUACACCAUCUGGCUCUUUUCUGUUCUUCACCUCUAUUAUUAAUGUGCAGGUCUUAAACUCUGUACCCCCUACAUUAAUGACACACACAAACAGUUGUUUGUCCUGCUAAUAAAGCACAUGCAGCGGUGAAUAAAAAGUGAAUAAAAAGGAGGCUUCUCAGCGUGUCUGGUGGAUGUCUCGGUAGAGAUUUUAAUUAGGGGCCACGGAGGCCGAGAGCAAACACAAUUUUUACGUAAAGUGCUGGGGCUGACCUCUCUCCCUGUCAUUCUCAUUAGUGUGUGGAGCAGCGGUCGAAGAAAGCUAGCACCGCUGAUUUUAAAUCUGGUCUCCAGGCAGGCUCUAGGAGACAGAGGCCAGCUCCGCCCCGUGCCACUCAGCCUUGCUCUCGUUCUAAUGAAGCCAUUAAGCCAGACGGAGAGCGAGCGCAUGCACGCACGGAGCACGGCCGCCCCGGGCUACGGGACACACCCGGAGUUUAGGACGUCACAUCCGCUUUGCUGACUUUGGCAACAAACGGGAGGUGCUGAGGCUGGGUUUUCUGCAUAGGUCAUCCAUAGUGCAGAUGACUUCACCCGUGCACGCAGGCGAAACACGCUCGUGAGAAUGAAAAUACGUGCUGGAUAGGAUGUCUGUAAACAACAAAUUGGAGGUUAUUGAAGGAGCCCCUGGCAUAUUUUACACAGCAGUGAAGUUAAACUGAGAAAGUGAACAUGCCUUAAGAGAUUGAAAAAAAGGCUGGUGGUAUUUCUGUGCAUAUGCGCAGGCAGACGCACAAGUGUCCAGCCAUGUACACACUCAUGC